rnacentral:rRNA from 1 species
UACGUAGGUGACAAGCGUUGUCCGGAUUUACUGGGCGUAAAGAGCGCGCAGGCGGUCGUUCAAGUCGAGUGUGAAAGCCCCCGGCUCAACUGGGGAGGGUCAUUCGAUACUGAUCGACUCGAAGGCAGGAGAGGGAAGUGGAAUUCCCGGUGUAGUGGUGAAAUGCGUAGAUAUCGGGAGGAACACCAGUGGCGAAGGCGGUCUUCUGGACGGUGACUGACGCUGAGGCGCGAAAGCGUGGGGAGCAAACGGG